rnacentral:misc_RNA from 1 species
AAGUCGUAACAAGGUUUCCGUAGGUGAACCUGCGGAAGGAUCAUUAACCUUUCAAAACAGGGUGCGUCGCGGCCCCCGAGGUGCAGGAAAUCAAGCCGAUAGCCGAGCGGGUUUCGGGGGUUGGCCUCCCCCUUCCAUCGCGCGCAACGACUGCCAUCCUUACUUUACGAGCACCUUCUGUUCUCCCUCGGCGGGGCAACCUGCCGUUGGAACCGAAUAAACUCUUUUUGCAUCUAGCAUUACCUGUUCCGAAACAAACAAUCGUUACAA